rnacentral:rRNA from 1 species
CCUACGGGGCGCAGCAGUAGGGAAUUUUCGUCAAUGGGCGCAAGCCUGAACGAGCGAUGCCGCGUGAGUGAAGAAGGCCUUCGGGUCGUAAAGCUCUGUUGCGGGGGAAAAAAGGCAGCAUCAGGAAAUGGGUGCUGACUGAUGGUGCCCCGCCAGAAAGUCACGGCUAACUACGUGCCAGCAGCCGCGGUAAUACGGAGGAUUCAAGCGUUAUCCGGAUUUAUUGGGUUUAAAGGGUGCGUAGGCGGUCGGAUAAGUUAGAGGUGAAAUCCCGAGGCUCAACUUCGGAAUUGCCUCUGAUACUG